rnacentral:rRNA from 1 species
AUUGAACGCUGGCGGAAUGCUUUACACAUGCAAGUCGAACGGCAGCACGGACUUCGGUCUGGUGGCGAGUGGCGAACGGGUGAGUAAUGUAUCGGAACGUGCCCAGUCGUGGGGGAUAACGUAGUGAAAAUUACGCUAAUACCGCAUACGAUCUAUGGAUGAAAGCGGAGGAUCGCAAGACCUCGCGCGAUUGGAGCGGCCGAUAUCAGAUUAGGUAGUUGGGGGGGUAAAGGACCACCAAGCCAACGAUCUGUAGCUGGUCGGAGAGGACGAGCAGACACACUGGGACUGAGACACGGUGCAGGCUCCUACGUGAGGCAGCAGUGGGGAAUUUUGGACAAUGGGCGAAAGCCUGGUCCAGCCAUUACGCGUGCAGGGUGAAGGCCCUCGGGUUGUAAACUGCUUUUGUACAGAACGAAAAGGUUUCUACUAAUACUAGGAGCUCAUGACGGUACUGUAAGAAUAAGCACCGGCUAACUACGUGCCAGCAGCCGCGGUAA